rnacentral:rRNA from 1 species
CAGCCGCCGCGGGAAUACGUAGGGUGCAAGCGUUAAUCGGAAUUACUGGGCGUAAAGCGUGCGCAGGCGGUUAUAUAAGACAGAUGUGAAAUCCCCGGGCUCAACCUGGGAACUGCAUUUGUGACUGUAUAGCUAGAGUACGGCAGAGGUGGAUGGAAUUCCGCGUGUAGCAGUGAAAUGCGUAGAUAUGCGGAGGAACACCGAUGGCGAAGGCAAUCCCCUGGGCCUGUACUGACGCUCAUGCACGAAAGCGUGGGGAGCAAACAGGAUUAGAUACCCCCGUAGUCCCUGUCUCUUAUAC